rnacentral:tRNA from 2 species
CGCGGGGUGGAGCAGUACGGAAGCUCGUCGGGCUCAUAACCCGAAGGUCAUAGGUUCAAAUCCUAUCCCCGCAACCA